rnacentral:tRNA from 1 species
GGGAAGGUAGCUCAGUGGUAGAGCGCUUGCCUUGCAUGCAUGAGGUCCUAGGUUCAAUUCCUCAGCACCA